rnacentral:lncRNA from 1 species
AACGUGAUUUAGAGGAACACUGUGAUGACGGGACCAGGUCUACACCCCAGCCAAACUUUGCUCACUUGGACAGUAGCCAGAGUGUUCCCUUCAUGUCCGACACCUCGUUGCUCAUGUCCCUAGCCAAGUCCCCUGCAAUGGAUGUUCUCAUCCAAGCCCAACGUCUAA